AACGAACGUUGGCGGCGCGCCUAACACAUGCAAGUCGCACGAGAAAGGGAGCAAUCCCCGGUACAGUGGCGCACGGGUGAGUAAAGUAUCGGAACGUACCUUUCAGUGGGGGAUAACGUAGCGAAAGUUACGCUAAUACCGCAUAUUCUGUGAGCAGGAAAGCAGGGGAUCGCAAGACCUUGCGCUGAUUGAGCGGCCGAUAUCAGAUUAGCUAGUUGGUGAGGUAAGAGCUCACCAAGGCGACGAUCUGUAGCGGGUCUGAGAGGAUGAUCCGCCACACUGGGACUGAGACACGGCCCAGACUCCUACGGGAGGCAGCAGUGGGGAAUUUUGGACAAUGGGGGCAACCCUGAUCCAGCCAUGCCGCGUGAGUGAAGAAGGCCUUCGGGUUGUAAAGCUCUUUCGGCCGGGAAGAAAUCGCACCAGCUAAUACCUGGUGUGGAUGACGGUACCGGAAUAAGAAGCACCGGCUAACUACGUGCCAGCCGCCGCAGUAAGAC
rnacentral:rRNA from 1 species